rnacentral:rRNA from 1 species
AUUGAACGCUGGCGGCAUGCUUUACACAUGCAAGUCGAACGGUAACAGGGUGCUUGCACCGCUGACGAGUGGCGAACGGGUGAGUAAUGCGUCGGAACGUGCCGAGUAGUGGGGGAUAACGCAGCGAAAGUUGUGCUAAUACCGCAUACGUACUGAGGUAGAAAGUGGGGGACCUUCGGGCCUCACGCUAUUCGAGCGGCCGACGUCUGAUUAGCUAGUAGGUGAGGUAAAGGCUCACCUAGGCGACGAUCAGUAGCGGGUCUGAGAGGAUGAUCCGCCACAAUGGAACUGAGACACGGCCCAGACUCCUCCGGGAGGCAGCAGUGGGGAAUUUUGGACAAUGGGCGAAAGCCUGAUCCAGCCAUGCCGCGUGUCUGAAGAAGGCCUUCGGGUUGUAAAGGACUUUUGUCAGGGAGGAAAUCCCUAGUGCUAAUAACACUGGGGGAUGACAGUACCUGAAGAAUAAGCACCGGCUAACUACGUGCCAGCAGCCGCCGCCG